AGCUUGCUUUCUCGAGCGAGUGGCGAACGGGUGAGUAACGCGUGAGGAACCUGCCUCAAAGAGGGGGACAACAGUUGGAAACGACUGCUAAUACCGCAUAAGCGCACAGCUUCGCAUGAAGCAGUGUGAAAAACUCCGGUGGUACAAGAUGGACCCGCGUCUGAUUAGCUGGUUGGUGAGGUAACGGCCCACCAAGGCAACGAUCAGUAGCCGACUUGAGAGAGUGAUCGGCCACAUUGGGACUGAGACACGGCCCAAACUCC
rnacentral:rRNA from 1 species